AAUCGUUAUUGAGCAGGAGUUUUUAAAAUUUAUUUUGAUAUAAUCAAAGAUCCAAAAAUACUAUCACUGUGCAGUAAAAUCUUCCCCAGCUGAGAAAAGCCCAACGAAGGAUUUGAGCAGAUCACCAAAUUCACUGUUGCUGUUUCACAUUUGUGUGUUUUCAGACAUCUGUGCUCGGACACUUGCAGCCUUUGGGGUACCAUGUGCUCGAUUUCUUCCUCCAUCUUUGGGGGGCUGAGUUCAGCACUGUCCUAUCGGAUGGCAGGGUGAACCAACGAGGUGCCCACCGACAGUUCCCUCCCAGGUCCUGUGAUUGCAGAAAACAGAACGGGGGAAAGAGUCAGCACAGGGUUCCCACAGGGACCAACGUUAGCCAACAGGUACUGGCUCUCUGGAACCCUGUGCUAAGAAUUCUGAGACAAUGUGUGGAAUUGAGGGGGUAGAUAGCAGACCUGAUUGGUCAGCAGCACCUGCCAUGGACCCAGGAGGUGGGAAUAACCCUGUGAAGGCCAGGAUUCACCAGUCCCAAGGGCCCUGUAUCUCAGGGAAAGGCAGCAGGUGGUGGAAACCCAUCAAAUCAGCUCUCAGUCUACUUAUUUGUAACCUAUCUUGUCCCAAAGAAGAUUUAAGGUCAUUGUGAGGCUGCAUGUAAGCGUUCCCAAGCAGGGAGGAAAUACAGGCAAAUUAACUCUGGGGAGGAAUGAAGAUGAGGGGCCUGGAAGCGCCUUGUUCCACUUCGGAAGCUGGUGUGAUCUCAUUGUGCCUGUGCGAUUCCAUAGAAAGGCUGGGCCAGUCAGCUAUCAAGUCUUUGAGACUAUCUUGAAAACAACAAAACAAACAACAUCUUUGCUCUCUGUGUCCUUAACGUCAGUCUCCUUCGAGUGGGAUUUCAGAUGUAAAGUCCGAUUCUUCCUUGUCAGAGGGAUGUUUACCGUGCGGAUGGCUGAGAUGGUCUGGAGCGUUAUGUUAUUCCUGAAUGAAAGCAAGUGGUCUGCAGAGCCAAAAGUUGAUGCUACUAUAGGAUUUUUCUGCAUAAUUUAUUCACGAAGAAGAUGUCAAAAAAGAUGCUCUUAGUUGACCUAUAGCUUUGGAAAAUAUAUCUGUGAAAAAAGAUACUAUUUUCUGUAUAUCUAUCUAUGAAAGAUAAUCUUUCCUAUUUGUUAUCUAUUGAAAAGCUAUCUUAAUUGACUUAUAGUUCUUAAAAUAUAUAUUUAUGAAAUUAUUUUUAUAAAGCUCAAUGCAGACAGUGUCUGAGAAGAUAACAUAUUACAAGCAAUAUUUAACUGUUCAUUAUUUUGAAGCCACUUACGUUUUUCCCUCUAUGAGCAAAGAUGGAAACUGGUUGUUCACCUCUCAGCACCAGAGACUAACGCUCACUGUAUUGAAAUUACAUUGAGCCCGAACACAGGGUACCAUGCCAGAAAUUAGCCUGCUCCUGCCUGGGGGAAAAUAAACUAGCGUAAAUCUAUUUAGCCCA
rnacentral:lncRNA from 1 species